rfam:Onchocerca volvulus assembly O_volvulus_Cameroon_v3 genomic scaffold, OVOC_OO_000016
UAUCAUGACAUCUACUCAAUGCUAAUACAUAAUAAGUGUGUGCGUUUUAUACACUAUGACAAUAAAAUUACCUUGUAAUAGGUGUAUUGGACCCGAGGGCAGUACUCGGCGCCUCCACCAUAUUUUCACAUAGUGGCGAAUAAGAAUCGACAUACAUGGUAAAGAUGGUAGCUUUGCUCGGUCAGAUACCAUCGUUAAGAGUUUAUAAUUUAGAUGCAAACGAUAAUUUUGCUGCUAAUGGUAAUGUUGUAGGAUUAGCUGCUUAAACUAAGCUAUAAUCUUAUUACUACAAGCAUGGUUUAGGAACGCCGGGUAACAGAAUGUUCCCCAAA